CACGUAGGGGACGAGCGUUGUCCGGAUUCAUUGGGCGUAAAGAGCGCGUAGGCGGCCGUGCAAGUCGGUUGUGAAAUCCCGGGGCUCAACCCCGGGACUGCGUCCGAUACUGCACGGCUCGAGGCAGGUAGGGGAGAGUGGAAUUCCCGGUGUAGCGGUGAAAUGCGCAGAUAUCGGGAGGAACACCGGUGGCGAAGGCGGCUCUCUGGACCUGUCCUGACGCUGAGGCGCGAAAGCUAGGGGAGCGAACAGG
rnacentral:rRNA from 1 species